UACGAAGGGGGCUAGCGUUGUUCGGAAUUACUGGGCGUAAAGCGUGCGCAGGCGGCUUCUCAAGUCAGGGGUGAAAGCCCAGAGCUCAACUCUGGAAUUGCCUUUGAGACUGAGUGGCUUGAGUACGAGAGAGGUGAGUGGAAUUCCCAGUGUAGAGGUGAAAUUCGUAGAUAUUGGGAAGAACACCGGUGGCGAAGGCGGCUCACUGGUCCGGUACUGACGCUGAGGUGCGAAAGCGUGGGGAGCAAACAGG
rnacentral:rRNA from 1 species